GUUUUUCAUCAAACAACAGCAGUCGCACCUGUCAAUGUUCAACCUGUUUACAGCUUCUGCAUGGAGUUUCCAGCGGAGGGAAAGCAGCUGACCCUGUAAGAACACAGGGCUUGUGGAAAAUGUUGGUAAUUCCAAUACUGUAGAUACCUCAGGAGACUUGGCACGACUUGAUUCAUCCGCCGGGAUCCAGCAGAGAGCAGUAGAACAUAAAAACACUUGAGAUACAGCGAGAGUUGUCAUGGCGAUCCACAACCACCAUAACAAUCUCUGACAUACUUCCUCCUUCAGUUAUUCUCUUCUUAUUCUCUCUCUAUCUGACCCCUUACUUUCCUAAAUGACUUUCAAUCUUAUUGUUUAGCACUUUCUUUCUUCCACUUUUCCUUUCCCUCAUUCUCUUUCUUUGUUUUUUGCUCCUCUCUUACACUCCUUAACUUCCUCUAACCCUUUUAAGAAACCCAGAUGAAAAGGCAACGUGCUUUCCAAUUUCCAUCCUUUAAUGUUUUUUUUUCUGGGAUUGUUCCAAUCAUGUGGGAGAGCCCCUUUCCCUGCUGCCUUUUCCCAGCACAGGUGCCUGCUGCAGUGGCUCUCGUAAGCUGUCUGCAAAUGACAUUGGUUCUCCUCUGUUGGUCACAUCCUGUGUCCCGGAUAUGAUACUGCCAUGAGUCUCUGUAUCCCUAAUGGAAACACGUCUGGCUUUGGCCUACAUGAUGUCCAGUUGUGGGAAGAUGGCGCUGAAAGCAUUUCUACAGAAAUAAUGAGUGUCCAACAAGUUUGCUCUCUGCGAGUGAAGUGAGGUCACAGCCAAAAGGUGAGACAUUUUAAGAAGUUCUUCAAAGAGAAAGUAUGUUUGAUUUUUUACAGCUAGAGAUUAAAGAUCGCCCCCCCUUGUCA